UUUUUUUUUUUCCUCAAGCUCCUCAAAGAGUUAUGUACACUAGCUUUCAAAGAAAAAGAAAACAUUACAUAUUAAGUCCCAGCUCUUAACCUCUGGAGAUGGAAACCAUGUCUUUUCUAAAGGAAAAAAUUGUGUAUAUAUAUAAAUAUAGACAUAUAUAUAUAUAAUCAUAUAAUACUUGUUUGUCAUAGGUAGUAACAAGCUACAAAAAAGAGAUUAAAAAAAUUAAAGCCACCCUCAUCUUAAGCAUCAAAAGCAAACACAUUCACAUUCUGUCAUACAGUCAUCCAGACUUUUCCCGGUGCUGUGCAUACCCCAUCGACACAUUUCUUCCUCACAAAAAGAGGUUGAAUUACACACCCUGCUUUGCAACUUUUUCAUUUUAAAUGCACCGUGUAAGUGUUUCAGGGUAAAUUUUAAAAACCCUCUAUAUUAAUGUUCCUUAUGGCCCCAGAGAGUUUCAUUUGCUCGAUGUAUCAAAUUUUAUAUCUUUUACCCUAGGUCAGGCCGUUUUCUGUCUUUCAUCACUAUAAACAGUUCCAGCAAACAUCCUUCUAUAAACACAUGGUUUUUAACACUGUCCUCUUACUACUGCCUUAAGAUAAAUGCAUAGAAGUGGAAUUGCUGGAUUAAAGCCUCCUGCUACACAUUCUCAAACAUCCCUCAAGAAAGGCUACACCAUUUUAAACCCCAACUAGCAAGGUUUAAGAGAUUUUCUAAUCCCUAAACUCUUGCUAAUACCACAUACCUUUCUUUAAUCUCAUACAACUUGAUACGCAUAAGUAGCAUCUGUGUUUCUUUCAUUUCUAGGGAAGUAGAAAAAUUUUUUUAUAUUUACCAGCCAUAAGAGCUACCAUCUUGUUGUAUUUGCAUACACGGAAUUUUCACGUUGGUUUUUUUUAAGAGUUCUUUACAUUUAAAAAUACCCUCAUUUGGAAGAUCCCAUCAUGAACCCGACUAGCAUCCAUGAGGACUCGGGUUCAAUCCCUGGUCUUGCUCAGUGGGUUAAGGACUGAAAGAAACAGAUGAAAAUGGAAUCUUGAGCAGAUUUAAGUGACUUGGCGAGGAAAAAUGACUGGGUCAUCUCUGAAAUUCUUUUCCCAUCUCAGAUGUUACACCUACAUGAUGUAAGGGAAANNNNNNNNNNNNNNNNNNNNNNNNNNNNNNNNNNNNNNNNNNNNNNNNNNNNNNNNNNNNNNNNNNNGGAAAGUUUGGAUGUAUCAGAGCCCCCCCCCCCCCAAAUCUGACUCCUCCCUGCCUUCGGUUCAGACCUUCACCACUUGGACUUCUGAGUCAUGACCAACUCCCUGGCCGUCCACCCCUGGCCACACAGCAGUGCCCCUUCCACACCACAGCCAGGGUGAGCUCCCCAAACCAUGACGCUGCCUACUGGCAACCCCCUGACUCAGCCUCUGGCGGAUCCCAGCAGCACUCAGAUUAGAACUGGAAUGCCUUAGUGGGCCUAAGAGUGGAAAGAAAGGUGCUUAAAAGUAGGGCCUUAGAGAUUUCAUUUGUACUUCAUGUUUUUUCUAAGAUGUACCUUGCUCAUGGGCAAAGGAGCUUAUAAAUCAGAGUAACUCAAUAAUGUAAUGAAACACCACAUUCUU
rnacentral:lncRNA from 1 species